rnacentral:rRNA from 1 species
GACCCUCGGAUCAGACGUGCGAUUACCCGCUGAAUUUAAGCAUAUUAUUAAGCGGAGGAAAAAGAAACUAACAAGGAUUUCCCUAGUACGCGACGGUCGAAGGACGGAAGAGGCGCCCAACACCGAAUCCCUUGGCCGCAAGUCAACGGGAAAUGUGGGCUGUUAAGGGUAGCCCUUCGUGUUCAAUCUAGGCAGUCUCAGUACACCCUGAAUGUGGCUCAAGCCCAGAUUGUGGCCAAGCCAGAGAGGGUGUAAGGCCCGUAGAGACGCUCCGACUGAUUCCUGGGGUUUACCUACGGAGUCGGCUUGUUUGGGAAUGCAGGCCAAAGCGGGUGGUAAACUCCAUCCAAGGCUAAAUACUGGCACGAGUCCGAUAGCGGACAAGUACCGUGAGGGAAAGUUGAAAAGAACUUUGAAGAGAGAGUUCAAUAGUACGUGAAAACCGCUUAGAGGCAAACGGAUGGUGCUCAUACUGGCCUGAGGAAUUCAAACUGUGACGGUGGCUGGACGAGCUGGCGUUCCGAUCUCUCUUUUGGGACGGGCGUCGGUUUGGCUAUCAGCUCGACAUGGUGCACUUUCCUUGGUGGGGCCUCGCCACGACCGACGACACUGGCUACCCGCGGCUGGGGUAGGGUAAGGUGACAAACUGCUUCGGCAAUUUGUGUUAUAGACCCGGCGUCGGACAUGGUUUGGCCAGGACGUCGAGCUUGCGGCGCCCGCCUCCUUGUGGGCUCGCCAUGUUGGCUAGCUUGGCUGCGCCGAUGCUUGCACUGGACAACCAGUACAGGUGACGGUUGUGGUCUUGUCUCUAGUUGGCCUCUGCGAGUUUGGCGCCUAUAGUCUGUGGUGUGUACUGUGGGGUAGACUAUCCGACCCGUCUUGAAACACGGACCAAGGAGUCUAACAUGUGCGCGAGUCAUGGGGAUUCUACGAAACCAAAGGCGCAGUGAAAGUAAAGCCUGCUUCUCGUAGGCUGAGGUGGGAUCUCGUGCAUCGCGAUUGGCGAGGCGCACCACCGGGCCCGUCCUAUCUGUCUCUGUCAGUGGGGCGGCGCAAGAGCGUACACGUUGGGACCCGAAAGAUGGUGAACUAUGCUUGCGCAGCUCGAAGUCAGUGGAAACACUGAUGGAGGAGCGCAGCGUUUCUGACGUGCAAAUCGAAUCGUCAAACGUGAGUAUAGGGGCGAAAGACUAAUCGAACCAUCUAGUAGCUGGUUCCUCCGAAGUUUCCCUCAGGAUAGCUGGCACUCGGGAAACAGUUUUAUCCGGUAAAGCGAAUGAUUAGAGGCAUUGGGGUCGAAAACGACCUCGACCUAUUCUCAAACUUUAAUGGGUAAGAUGCUCGUCUCGCUUAAUUGGUGAGGCGGGCUUCACCUCUCUAUUAAACGUGAAUGUGAGUGCCAGUGGGCCAUUUUUGGUAAGCAGAACUGGCGCUGUGGGAUGAACCAAACGCGCGGUUAAGGCGCCCAAUGCGGCGGACGCUCAUGAGACACCACAAAAGGUGUUGGUCGAUACUGACAGCAAGGACGGUGGCCAUGGAAGUCGGAACGCCGCUAGGAGUGUGUAACAACUCACCUGCCCGACGAAUCAACCAGCCCUGAAAAUGGAUGGCGCUGGAGCGUCGGGCCUAUACCGUGCCGUUGGGCGAAGCAGACAAAUAAUCUGUGUGGAUGUCCCAACGAGUAGGAGGGUCGCCGUGGUGAGCGCAGAAGGUGCGGCCGUGAGGCCGGCUGGAGCCGCCACGGGGCGCAGAUCUUGGUGGUGUAGUAGCAAUUACUCAAAGUGAGAACCUUGAGGACUGAAGUGGAGAAGGGUUCCAUGUGAACAGCAGUUGAACAUGGGUCAGGCGGGUCCUAAGCGAUCGGUAACUCCGUACCUAGACGAGGGUGACAACUAUCACUAACUAAUAUUGUGACGUGUUAUAGCCCUCCGGAGCGAAAGGGAAUCGUGUUAAUAUUCACGACCUUACCGGUGGAGAUCGCCCCUUUCGCGGGGGGCAAAGUGCGGUAACGCAAACGGAACACAGAGGACGUCGGCUGGAGCCCCGGGAAGAGUUCUCUUUUCUUUGUAAGGAGCGUACCCCCUGGAAUCGGCUUGUCCGGAGAUAGGGGCGUUGGCUUCCGUAAAGCAGCGCGGGUCUUGCGCUGUCGCGGUGCACUCUAGUCGGCCCUUGAAAAUCUGUGGGAGACAGUGUGAUUUUCACGGUAGGCCGUACCCAUAUCCGCAGCAGGUCUCCAAGGUGAACAGCCUCUAGUCCUAGAACAAUGUAGGUAAGGGAAGUCGGCAAAAUGGGAUCCGUAACUUCGGGAAAAGGAUUGGCUCUGAGGGCUGGGUCGGAUGGGCUGGCGUAAGAAGCUGUUCCGGUUUUGGUGAGGACUGGGGUGAGGCUUUCGGCGGGCUUUACUCGGACCAUGCCGAGACCAGGCAGUAGACGACGUCAGCUGUGCUUGUCGUGUUUCGGCGCGGCAGCUUCGUCCGCAACAAACAGCCAACUCAGAACUGGCACGGACUAGGGAAUCCGACUGUCUAAUUUAAAACAAAGCAUUGCGGAUGGCUGCCCUGUUGCUCAGGUGUUGACGCAAUGUUGUGAUUUCUGCCUCCAGCUUGCUCCUGAAUGUCAAAGUGAAGAAAUUCAAUCAAGCGCGGGGUAAAACGGCGGGAGUAACUAUGACUCUCUUAAGGUAGCCAAAUGCCUCGUCAUCUAAUUAGUGACGCGCAUGAUAUGGAUUAACGAGAAGAUUCCCACUUGCUCCUAUCUACUAUCUAGCGAAACCACACCAGCGGAACGGGCUCUCGCAGAAUUCAGAUCAGCGGGGAAAGAAGACCCCUGUUGAGCUUGACUCUAGUCCGACCUUUGUGAAGAGAGACAUGAGAGUGUAGUAUAGGUGGGAGCGUCAGCGACUUUGAAAUACCACUACUUUUAUCGUUUCUUUACUUUAUUUCAGUGAAGCGGGAGCGGCCUUCACGGGCCUCGUUUCUCGGUGUUAAACGGCUGGCCCUCGCGGGCCGGCGUGACCUGCUCUGAAGACAGUGUCAGGCGGGGAGUUUGACUGGGCGGUACAUCUGUCAAAACGGUACGCAGUCAGGGUGUCCCAAGAUGAGCUCAGUCAGGACAGAAACCUGGCGUAGAGCAAAAGGGCAAAAGCUCUCAUUUGAUUUUGAUUUUCAGUACGAAUACAGACCGUGAAAGCGCGGCCUAUCGAUCCCUUUGAUUAAUCAGAGUUUGAUUGCAAAGGAUAGGGUGUCAGAAAAGUUAGCCUACAGGAUAACUGGCUUGUGGCGGCAAAGCGUUCAUAGCGACGUUCGCUUUUUGAUCUUCGAUGUCGGCUUCUUUCCUAUCAUUGUGAAGCAGAAUUCACGCAAUGCGUUGGAUUGUUCACCACCAAUUAGGAACGUGAGCUGGGUUUAGACCGUCGUGAGACAGGGUUAGUUUUACCCUACUGAUGUCUUGUCGUUGCUAUGUAAUCCUGCUUAGUUACGAGAGGAACCCGCAGGUUCAGACAUUUGGUUUAUGUGCUUGGUCGAAAGACCAAUUGGUGCCGAAAGCUACAUCUGAGGGAUUAAGACUGAAAGCCUCUUAAGUCUGAAUCCCGCCAGAAAUGCAACGAUACUAUCGGUGCCCCUACGCCGGGAGGCAACGAUUAUACUCGCCCGAAAUCCGAUUUCGGCGGCCGAGACUGGCUAAAGCCACUGCGCGAUACUGGCCACACCCGCUGUCUUGAAAUUUGGCAGUGGAGGCACAGACACAGAUACCACUUGAUUGAGACGUAGGGGUUCUAUAUCGUUUGUAGACGACUUAGAUCUCGGUCGGGGGGUGCCGUACUUAGUUGAGCAGUUCUUCACUGCGAUCUAUUGAGGCUAAGCCUUUUGACGGGUGAGAGAUAUGU